ACGCGGAGGUGGAGAUUAGAGCGCAGGGGAGCCCGGGAAAGAAGCCGAAGAAAUGACGGAGAGGAGUGGCCAGGGUAACGGGAAGAGGAGACAGGAGACCCCGAGUAGCCGGGGAGCCAGAAGAGAGCCCCGCCGGGCGUGGGGAGGAGCCAGCUAAGCGGCAGCGGCACCUGUGGUAGAGUUGCGGGGUUUUCUUUCCGAGCGCGACGGUCAGGCAAAGCUACCAAGGCUCUCGCUAAGGCCGAAGGCGGCGGGUGGUAAGCCAAGUCGCCACCUACUCGCCUCCCUGACUCACUUGCAGACUGUCGGGCGCUGACACACACGCGAUGAGGUCGUCAAAGCUGGUGGUCCCUACGCUCAUAUUUGUGCUUUGCCCUGCCUGGAUAUAUAUAGAAGAGAGGCUGUGAGAAGAAAUUAUUUUCAGGAGAAAAAGGAUUGGAGUUUUAUUAAAUGUCUUCAUGUUAAUCAUCGUAUUUUAAUCACACACCUUCCCUAUGGAGUAAUAAAAUGGGAGAAGUUAAGCUGUGUGCUCAAGAUCACAUGGCUAGGAAGCAACUUACUGAAGAAGUACAGCUCUUUUGCUGGUUAAGCCUGGACAGGUCUUUUCUUGGCUCCCAGAGGGUCUCGCUCUGAAAAUAGCAUGAUGAUGGCUCAGUGCAGCCCCAACCCUCUGGACUCAAGCGACCCUCCCAUCCCAGCCUCCUGAGUAUCUGGGCCCACAGGCACAUGCCACCACAUCCGGGCUGUACAGGAAGCAUGGCUCAGGAGGCCUAAGGACACUUACAACCAUGGCAGAGGGCAAAAAAGAAGAAGAGGGAGCCUUGCCUUGUCAUACCAAGGCUGAAGUGCAGUGGUGCAAUCUCAGCUCACUGCAACCUGCACCUCCUGGGUUCAAGCAAUCCUACCACCUCAGCCUCCCAAGUAGCUGGGAUUAUAAGUGUAUGCCACCAUGCCUGGCUAAUUUUUGUGUUUUUAGUGAAGAUGAUGUUUCACCAUGUUGUCCAGGUUGUUCUUGAACUCCUGACCUCAAAUGAUCCACCCUCCUGAUCCAGCUUACAGAUGUGAGCUACUGUGCCUGGCCCCUUCUACAUUUUUUUUAGAGAUGAGGUCUUUUUGUAUUGACCAGGCUGAGGUGCACGGAUGUAUUAACACUACAGCCUCUUAACUCCUGGCCUUGAGUGAUCCUCCUGCCUCAGCCUCCAGAGUAGCUGGGACUACAGGUCCUAUGCCCAGCAUCCUUCUGCAUUUAUAUUGCAUUUGUCCUUCUGCACCUUACAAAUUUUUUUACUGUACUUUAGUGGAAACUCAUGAAACAGCAGAGAUAAGUUCAUAUGUUCAAUCUGCCUUGUCUAAGGGGAACUUUAUAGCACGUUCUAUAUUGAGAAAUAAUAUGGUCAAAAGCUGAUAACUCUAAGGGUGUGAGAAUAAGAAGCCCACUUUGUAACAGAAACAUGAAAUUUAAAAAUUCUAUAAUAGACAAGCCAUAUAUAUGACUAUUCACUGCUCUGUGAACAAGCGAAAGGUCUGUUGCUAUAGAAAACUGGAUUAUGUGAAUUUUCAAAUACUUGAAAUUACAGGGAAGUCAAUAAAUCAACAUAAGAUAUAAGGGCUUGUCUAGUAAUUUGUGGACGCAGGAUGUAUUGAGUGUAUUUUAUGAAAAUUGCCUUUAGAGAUUAAUUGGCCUCAUUUGGGAGCCUUAAGAAGCAUGCUAUUUAGCGACUCAUUGGAACAGCUCCAGAUUGGAAGGAUGGAGCCAGGGCAUUUAAUGUUGUACAUUUAUGAAAUAGGUGAAUUACAGACACAGUUUUUUAAAAAAAAUUUCAGGCAAAAUUUACAUAUUUUUAAAAAAGAGUCUGCAUGGUCUUCCUCUAUCCUAAUCCCGACCAAACUCCAGCCUGUAUAUGAAUUUGAGUAAAAAUGUACAGUAAGGGGAACGAAGUGGAGUUGCACACAAUACAAUGACUAACAUUUAUUGACCUGUAUUGAGUGUUUACUAUGUGCUAAUGAUUGUGCUAAAAACUUCAUAAAUUAUUUAAUGGUUAGUGAUUAUUUGACGAAUGUGUUUAAGUGGUAAAAAAGAAAGGACAAAUGAGAAAGGAGGAGGAGAGAGGUUGCAAACACCACCAAAGAUUUAUAGUGUUCUCAUUUUCUUUCCCUCCCAUCCCUUCCCAUCUCAAGGGCUGCUCUAGACUUAUUUAUAUUCAUAGCAUAAUUUUGAACAUUAUCUGUGCUUUUUGGUGUUCUUUUAGUAUGUUAAUACUAAAUAGUUCAUCUUAGCUACUUAAAUUUGAAGAUUAAUGAUAUGGAACUUCGAGCAGGAGCUUUGAUUUAGCAUAUGUAGUAAAUGUUCAAAUCACACAUAUAUUACUGGUUUUUUUUAAUAUAUCAUUAGAUACUUUGUAAAAGAAGAGAGAGAAUAAAAGGAUAGAAGAAAGAGAAACCUGUCAAGGCAUUACUAUAAUUUUAAAACCUGUUUAUGAAAGCAAUGUGGCUGCUGCUUACAAACGAUCAAACCUUUACAAGUGUUAAGUAAUAUCAGCCUGGGAUGACUUAAUACAUGUUCAGUCAAACAAAUUAACAAGAAUGCAGAAGUCUGGAACAUGUAUAAACUUGGUCUAGGAUUAAUGGAAGUAAUCUAGAGAGAAAAUGAGAAUAUAAAUAAUUCUCCAAAAACUAGUAAGAUAUCUUUAAGGCUGCAGAUUAUUUAAGUUUCACAAUUUCCAUUAUUAUUUUUUAUUGUAAAAGAAAGUAAAUUUCUUUCUUACUUAAUUGUUAUCUACUGAGUACCUGCUUUGUGAAAGGCAUUGUGAUAAGCAUUGUGGAGGAAAAAAUAUUAAAAGUCUACGAUGCUAUCUAUUUUAUCAAGAAACUCAUAAUCCUGUGUUGAAGAUAAGACAUAUGUAAAAUAACUGCUAAACUCUACACAGUAUUAUGUGACAAGUGCCACAUGAAUGACAAAUAUUUUCAUUUUCCAUUUUGCCCAUUUGCAAUAUAUAUAGAAUGAAUUAUAUAGCUAACAUUCCAAAUAUAUGUGCUUUUUUGUACCCUAAUCAUAUAUGUCAAUCUUCUACAACAACUACAAAACAUCAUUAAAAGUACUUUAUGUAGAGCAAGACUAGAGGAAGGGCUGCCAGCUAUGGCAUGCAAAGGAAAAGUUUUCUGAUUCCAAAGACAUAUAUGUGUAUGUGUCUAUCUUAAGGAAAUUUAUAACUUUUUUAAAUGCAUGACAUAGGAAAGUAUUUAUUUUGUUGUUCAAAUAAGAAAACAACAUUGUAAAGAUUUCUACAAAUGUAUUCCUUAUAACUGGAAAUAGUAACUGAAACAGUAUCAUACUUGGAGGUCUGUAUUCUAGAUGGCUAACAGCUUUGUUGCUUGGGGUUACAAAUGAGAAAUGAUACCCUACAAUGAUCUUGUCCAUUGAAGUGUAGAGUUUAAGUCUCCUGGUUCAGAAUUAAAGGGAACUGUAGGGUGAGAGGCAAUCUGUAUUCAUAAUUCCAUAGACAGCAGUUUUCUUCAGGCUUUGAUUCAUAGCUCAUCUGCUACCUGCCAUUCGCCCUGAGUUCCCGGAUGCCUUGCCGGUUUCCAUGGUGCUAAUAUGCAUAUCAAAUUGGAACUUGUAUUUUUGUGUUUGGCUCAUAUGGAAUAUGUGAUUUAUUGAGUGUUAACUACAUUCCAUUCAGCCAAGUGUGCUAGAUAUAUAUCUCAUUUAAUUUCACAAUAACCCUAUGAGGUCAGUAUUAUUUUUGUCACCAUUUUACAGAUGAAGAAAGUGAGGUUCAGAGAAACUAAGUAACUUGCUGUGAUGGUUAAUACUGAGUGUCAACUUGAUUGGAAUGAAGGAUGCAAAGGGUGUGUCUGUGAGGGUGUUGCCAAAGGAGAUUAACAUUUGAGUCAGUGGGCUGGGAAAGGUAGACCCACCCUUAAUCUGAUGGGCACAAUCUAAUCAGCUGCCAGCGAAUAAAGCUGGCAAGAAAACAUGCAAAGGUGAGACUGGCCUAGCCUCCCAGCCUACAUCCUACUACUGUGUUGAAUGCUUUCUGUCCUUGAACAUCAGACUCCAACUUCUUCAGUUUGGAGACUCGGACUGGCUCUCUUUCCUCCUCAAGCUUGCAGACAGCCUACUGUGGGACCUUGUGAUCAUGUAAGUUAAUAUUUAAUAAACUCCCUCUUGUGUGUGUGUGUGUGUGUGUGUGUGUCCUAUUAGUUCUGUCGUUCUAGGGAACACUGACUAAUACACUUGCCCAAAGUUAUGGAGCUGGUAAAUGAUGGAGUCAGGAGUCCAAUUCAAUCUGUUUAACUCCUGGUCUGUUCUGAUAACCAUUUGGCUCUGCUGUCUUUCCUGUGGAACAUGCUAGUAUUUAGAUGUCAGGUAUUUAGACAUCAGGAAGUAUUUAGAUGUCAGGAGAUUAAGAGAAAGAGUUAGGCUAGAGAUACAUUUAGUAGUAAUCAACAUGUGUUAUAUAUCCUCAAACAUAAGGAGACUUCAAAAGAAGAUACUAGAAAGUUCGCCUUGUCAAUUGGAUUAUAAAAUAUUUUAUGGAUAUCAAUGAAUGAAUCAAAUGCCUAUUCUUGGCAUUUAAAAUUUUAAUCUAGUAAAAUAAGUAUUUAAAACUACAUUAUAUAAAUACAUGAAUUUAGCUGUGUUGCUUUAUCACCUCAUUUCAUGAAAUAAUUCAUUUGAGUUAUUUACAUGCAUUUUGAACAUCACUAGCAUCUAUUUUUGUCAUCUGCUUUUCAGAGCUCAUUAUCCUAAUUUCUAGCUUAUAUGACAUACUAUACAAAACUAUUAUUAUCUUGCUGUACAGAAAAUUUUAUCCCAGGUAACAGAUACUCAUUCACAUAAAAUCACAUAUGCAGUUGUGACAUCAUACCCCUGCAAUAGCUGAUACAUUAGUAUUACAUUGAUACUUUUAUGUAUGUAUGUAUAUAUGUAUGUAUUUGCUUGCUCAUAUUUAAUAUUUAUUUUUAGACUAGCUUUGAUGUGGGUUAUUUCAUGGAAACAGCAUAGUGUCAAUUAAAACUUUUGGAGUAGAAAAGUAGACAGAGUUCCAGCUUUUUUUAAAGAAGGACAAUGAUUGGCAUUGCAACUGUAUUCAGCCAGAAAAAUACAUACUUUUCCAAAAUAAAUUUCUUACAUUUAACUGAGAUGUGCUAAAACUUACUAUUUGGUAGGUAGAACUAACAUAUGAAAGAGGAAAAAAAAAAAGAGCAGAGAACAGAUUUUAAUUCAGGUCUCACUCAAGCUCAUGUGCUUUUUUUUUAACCCCUGCUGUCAUUUAUGAUUAACAGACAAUAUAUACUUGUGAGAUGGCUGGUUGAUAACCAUGAGACAGAGUUUAGGUAACUGGCCUAUGUGUAAACACAGAAUGAAUAACCGAUUUUCUAGCACAUUGUUUUAACCAAUUACCAUGCCUUCUAAGGACAAAUGUUAUAUUUCAAUAUAUGGGGGAUCACUUUUAGAGAAUUCCAAUAGGGAAAGGAUGGUGAGAAGAGCAAAACUAGAAAAUAUGAGUGGUAGUACGUGAAACAACAGCUUUCUGCAUUAGAGUAGAUUAGAAAUUGAACUGUUAACAGUUCUUGCAUGUAUCUGAACCCAAAUUCCCAUGGCAAGGUUAUCAGGUAAAGACAUACAUGACAUCAAAAGUCAUGUUGAUAUUUAAAACACAGCCAAUGUGAUGUCAUAGGCCUUAUUUCUAGAUAUUUUAAUAUUAAUGUAACAAAAUUUUAUGUAUCAAGUACUUGCUAAAUUAAAAUAAUGUAGUCACAUUUACCUUUUAAAUCUAAAGCUUUAGUAUAUUCACUUUCCUAGUAUUCUCACACCUCAGUUACAAAGAAUAGGCACCCAUUCAGUGCAUAUCAGAAAAUGGACACAAUAAAUGUUAAAAGCAACUAUGUUUUCUAAAAGCGGCAACAUUUGCCCAACUAUAAAAAAAAGUUGUUUUGCUUAUAUCUAUAAAUGUUACUAGGUUUCCGUUAGAGAAAAUCCACCAGAUGGCAACAUCAUCUGCUUAUGAAAGGUGAUAUGCAAUCCUCUGCAACCCAUUACAGGUCCCUUGAGCCAGAGGCUCCCUGAUCAGUGGCUGAUUUCUAUAGUGAUUCAUAAAUGGAUACUAGGUAGUCAUUUGGGGAUAAUUAUUGAAGUUGGGGGAUGGGAACAAUUAGGCCAUAGUUAGCAUCAAGGGUGAAAUAGUUUUAGUAUCAUUCUUUUUUAUUAAUAUUGAAACAAAAAAUAUAGUAUCUAUUUCCAUGUUGCCCUCUAAUCAUGUUUUUAAUUCAAAGCUAAAAGGGAUUAUAUUCACUUCAGUAUAUAAAGCUACAGACAGUAUUAUUUUUUUCAUGGAUCACAAGUUAUUCUAGUUGGUUCCCUUGUACUUAAUGGCAAUCUGGUAGCUAGCUGGCUUAUUGUUUUAAAUUCAAACUAUCUUUCUUAUAUCUAAACCUGAUAGUAUGCAGAAAGUACUGCUGGGGAUAUUUAAUAUGUCCCUUAUUGUUUUCUGUUUAUAACAACCUGCCCUGAGGUACUAAUUAGAUAUUAGAUACUACACAUAUUUAGCAAAUACUGUUGGUGUUUUUCCAUACAAAGUCUGUGGUCAAGGUGAAAGUCGUUGAUGGGUUGGUAAUAUGAACUGCACAUUUCUGAAAAGGAAAAAAAAAUAGACUUGUUGAAAUUUUUAUUCCUGAAUAGCUAGAGUUCUAAUUGCAUCUGACAUUUUAUUAAUAAAUCCCUUUCCAAAGUGGCAUAUAUCACUUGUAUUAAAUUACAGCUGUGUAAAACAUCUGUUUGAUUUAAAUAUCUACAAUACCUAACAGGUUGCCUGUUAGUUUUUUUAAUACAGUGGACUUUUUUGUUAUCUGUAUAUUUUCUAAAAUUCAUAUAACUUGAAAAAUAUAGUUUUUUCUGUCUCCUGGGUAUUUAUUGAGGUAUAUUUUUAAAAAUCAUGUAAUUCACCAUUUCAAGUAUAGUAUACAAUGAUUUUUAGUAAAUUUAUGUUUCCUGGGUAUUUUUAAAGUGGUACAGUUGUUUCUAGAUGCUGUUCCCCUUACAUGACAAGUAUUCUAAAUUUUGGCAGCUAAUCUAUCCUUGGUUCCGUAUGUGCCUGCUUUUUGAUAUUGUUUACAUUAAUAAAGAGCAGAAAAUCUGACUCUUGGGUGUCUAAAAUUUUGUUAGUAUCAAUGCCUCAGUGACCCAUCUUCUAGAUUUGGAGGGACAGAUUCAUAUUGCAUAACAGAGUUGGAAUUUGGGACUCAUUUUCAUAUAAUACUAACAAAUCUAACCUUCAAAACCACCAACACUAUUGGAGCUAGUUAUUAUUAACACAUGUGCAGUACUGACAUUAUAUUAAAGCAUUGCACAGCACAUAAAAUACUGUUCUUGCUGUUAAUGGAUUUAUAAAGUAAUUGGAAAAAUUGAUCUACGUAUAAAGAGGCCUUAAAAAAAAGUCAUUAGACUUCAUUCACAUUCUCCUCUAUCCCCUUAAUUGCUAAUUUCUCAUUUCCAUCUGCAGAUAUAUGGCUUUCUGUUCUCUUGUUCUGCCACCUAGAUUUACAUGGCUCAAAGUUCAAAUGAUAUUAACAGACUGUAUAUCAAAACUGAUGUCCAUCUUCUAUUAAAUAUUAGUUCCUUUCUUCAUAUGUUUGGGCUAAUGGCUAUAUGGUAAAAUAGUAGAAAAGUCUUCUUGUCAAUGUUACUGUUGGUUCUUGCACCGAUGGUGGUCAAAAACUGACAUCUUCCCCAGUUGAAAGAGUUUCCUUUGACCUUGAUGGAGGAAAUCCUCCUUAUUUGAGUAAAUAAAUUCCUGAGUUUGGGGAAUGUGCAUAAAUGCUAAAAAACUGGGCAAAUGGCCAAAAAUAACCAUUUCAGCACUCUGGAAAUUGACGAAAGAAUACAACAAGCUGAGAACUUCUGGACUUUGAGUAAGAAAAUAAUAAGUCUGUGGUGUUCUUGCUUGGACCUGUCUAUUCACCACCUCCUCCACUUGCUCCCCACAAGCUCUGUUAUCACAGUAGUUGAAGGGUGAGGCAGGCUGUAAGAACUAGAAGUUUUGCUGCUGCUGUUGCUGCUACUGAAAAGAACUCACCUAAUUUGGAACAUUGUCAGCUAAAGUACAGUCAGCCCUUGAUCAACGUGGGUUUGAACCAUGCAGGUCCACUUACAUGCAGAUUUCUCUCUGCCUCUGCCACCCAUGAGACAGCAACACCAACCUUGACUCUUCCUUUGCUUCCUCUGUCUACUCAACCUGCAGACAAUGAGGAUGAAGACUUUUAUGGUGAUCCACUUCUGCUUAAUGGAUAGUAAAUAUAUUUUCUCUUCUUAUAGCUUUCUUAAUAACAUUUUCUUUUCUGUAGCUUACUGGCUUACUUUAUUGUAAGAAUACCAUAUAUAAUAUAUAUCACAUUACAAAAAUA